rnacentral:rRNA from 1 species
GAGCACGUAGGUGGGUUUGUAAGUCAGAUGUGAAAGCCUUCUGUUCAACGGAAGAAUUGCAUCUGAAACUACAAACCUUGAGUAUAGGAGGGGAGAGUGGAACUUCUGGUGGAGCGGUGAAAUGCGUAGAUAUCAGAAGGAACGCCGGCGGCGAAAGCGACUCUCUGGCCUAUAACUGACACUGAGUGUGCGAAAGCUAGGGGAGCAAACGGGAUUAGAUACCCCGGUAGUCCUAGCCGUAAACGAUGGGCACUAAGUAGAGGGGUUUU